rnacentral:tRNA from 1 species
AAAAAAAGUUAGUUAUAAAUAACAUAAGAUUGUCAAUCUUAAAUUAAUAUUUUUAUAUUA